UACCAAUUGUUGCCUCGGCGGAUCAGCCCGCUCCCGGUAAAACGGGACGGCCCGCCAGAGGACCCCUAAACUCUGUUUCUAUAUGUAACUUCUGAGUAAAACCAUAAAUAAAUCAAAACUUUCAACAACGGAUCUCUUGGUUCUGGCAUCGAUGAAGAACGCAGCAAAAUGCGAUAAGUAAUGUGAAUUGCAGAAUUCAGUGAAUCAUCGAAUCUUUGAACGCACAUUGCGCCCGCCAGUAUUCUGGCGGGCAUGCCUGUUCGAGCGUCAUUUCAACCCUCAAGCCCAGCUUGGUGUUGGGACUCGCGAGUUAAAUCGCGUUCCCCAAAUUGAUUGGCGGUCACGUCGAGCUUCCAUAGCGUAGUAGUAAAACCCUCGUUACUGGUAAUCGUCGCGGCCACGCCGUUAAACCCCAACUUCUGAAUGUUGACCUCGGAUCAGGUAGGAAUACCCGCUGAACUUAAGCAUAU
rnacentral:rRNA from 1 species